rnacentral:rRNA from 1 species
ACAGCAGUCGCCGCGGGAAUACGUAGGUCCCGAGCGUUGUCCGGAUUUAUUGGGCGUAAAGCGAGCGCAGGCGGUUAGAUAAGUCUGAAGUUAAAGGCUGUGGCUUAACCAUAGUACGCUUUGGAAACUGUUUAACUUGAGUGCAAGAGGGGAGAGUGGAAUUCCAUGUGUAGCGGUGAAAUGCGUAGAUAUAUGGAGGAACACCGGUGGCGAAAGCGGCUCUCUGGCUUGUAACCGACGCUGAGGCUCGAAAGCGUGGGGAGCAAACAGGAUUAGAUACCCGCGUAGUCCCUGUCUCUUAUACA